ensembl:misc_RNA 7SK 7SK RNA
AUGGGGUCAACCUGUAUCCCUGUCUAAGCAUUUUGUUUUUCCUCCAUUGAUCACCAGGGUUGAUUUGGCUGAUCUGGCUGGCUAGAUGGGUGUCCCCUUCCUCCCUCACCACUGGUGAGUCCUUCCCAAAGCUGAGCCCUUGGUCAAAGAUGACGACCAUCCCCGAUAGAGGAGGACCAGUCUUUGGUCAAGGGUGUAUGGGUAGCUGCGCUCCCCUGCUAGAACUUCCAAACAAGCUUUCACAAAAGCAUUUGAAUAGCAAAAAGCCCCAUAUUUUCCCAAUGUUACAUGAUAGUAUGUCCUUUUAU